GUACAUAAUAUAUCACGUUUAUCUUAUUGGUUAACUAUUAGCUUGUAUCUUCAUAGUUUAAUUUUCAACCCAAUUGGCAUUAUUUAUUUAGUUGUUAUACCCCCGCUUUGAAAAAGGGGGUAUACUGUUUUACCUCUGUCUGUCCUUCCGUCAGUCCGUCAGUCUGUCAGUCAGUCCGUCCGUCCCAUGAAUAUUUUUCGUCAUAUUUUUCUCAGG
rnacentral:lncRNA from 1 species